GAUGAACGCGUGGCGGCGUGCUUAACACAUGCAAGUCGAGCGGAAGCGACUUAAAGGUUUGAUUCUUCGGAUGAAGACUUUUGUGACUGAGCGGGCGGACGGGUGAGUAACGCGUGGGUAACCUGCCUCAUACAGGGGGAUAACAGUUAGAAAUGACUGCUAAUACCGCAUAAGACCACAGGGUCGCAUGACCCGGUGGUCAAAGGAGCAAUCCGGUUUGAGAUGGGCUCGCGUCCGAUUAGCUAGUUGGUGAGAUAACGGCCCACCAAGGCGACGAUCGGUAGCCGACCUGAGAGGGUGAUCGGCCACAUUGGAACUGAGAAACGGUCCAG
rnacentral:rRNA from 1 species